rnacentral:lncRNA from 1 species
GUGGGGGGGACACUGUUACCUUGGCCCCAUUAUCAUCUCAUGCAUUAUCAACAAAGUAAGCUCUCUGCCUCUCUCUAUCCCUCUCCGCGAUCGCUGCGUUCAUAUAAAUAAGUCUUACGUAGUUACGUGUGUCAAUCAGCAAUUAUAUCUCCUUUGACUAUCAUCCUAUAGAGCAUAUUGAACAUUCUUCAAAAGAAUAUUUGACAUGGUAUCUAUUCAAAUACAAGAUCCUUGUUAAAUCGUAUCUUUCUUAACAAGUUAAUAAUAUAUCUGGUUCGAAAAAAAAAAAAAAUAUAUAUAUA